UACGAAGGGGGCUAGCGUUGCUCGGAAUCACUGGGCGUAAAGAGCGUGUAGGCGGCCGUACAGGUCAGCUGUGAAAACUCGAGGCUCAACCUCGAGACGUCGGUUGAAACCGUACGGCUAGAGUCCGGAAGAGGAGAGUGGAAUUCCCGGUGUAGCGGUGAAAUGCGCAGAUAUCGGGAAGAACACCCGUGGCGAAGGCGGCUCUCUGGGACGGUACUGACGCUGAGACGCGAAAGCGUGGGGAGCGAACAGG
rnacentral:rRNA from 1 species